GGGAGAAUGUUUUACUGUUUGCAUGCCCAAGUGUCAAAGCUGUUGAGUGGUUAAUGAAAUGCAGUGUCAGCAGCAUCUUUAGGAAUAGGAAGUUCAGAAACAAUAGUGACUCUGUUGAUGUGUGUUCUCCUGUUCUCUUCAGCUAAAAAAUGCCUCAGCUGAAUGAUAGCUUUGGGGGAAUGAGCAUGUCCACGUCCAUGUCCUUCCGAGGAGGGCAGGAGACUUCAGCAGGAAUGACGAUGUCUAUAAGGAGUAUCUGUAUCCCUUCCUCCUCACCCUUGAACAACUUUCAACAUUUUCAUUGCAUGUCUAACUUAAUGAGAAACUUUGGAUGUGCCUGGAGCUGUAUCCAGGGCUGUGCUCAGAUGUUGAAAUGACUGCCUGAAAAUUGGCUUCCCAGGUAAAAUUGGCUCGGUGUAUGAAGUGUAGCGUGUUGUAGAUGUUCUCUCAGUGCAAUUUCUUUGAAGAAAUAAAUUACCACUGUGUUUUGUAUUGGGAGAAAGAGUGUUUUGUUGUCUAAAGUGACCCAUAAAGAUAACAGUUCUAGAAUUCGGCACUUUGCCUUUGCAGGUCUUUUUUAAUAGCUUUAAAAAUGAUAAAGGUUUUCUUAUUAUAAGGGUCUCUGGAUUACUUAUCUAAAUUAUGAGUGAGGUGGAUGUUAUCCUUCAAAGGACAAGCUUUCUGCUUGCUGUGUUCUCAGACAAAGUAUUUUCCGACAACGUGGUCUUCAGUGUUUGCCCAUUUUUGCACUAUAAUGAGAUGUAUGCCACUACAAAACUGCAUUAAAAGACUUUUUAAUGCAGUCGGGAGCCACAGCUAACAGGCCUUCUAUCAAUGUAAGUGCUAUAGCUCAAACUGAUAAAGAGCUAAAUCCCUAACAAGCUCUAAGUUUCAGCAUGGAAAUAGAAAGUAGACCUUCUCCGUGCAUGUUUUAAG
rnacentral:lncRNA from 1 species